GACGAACGCUGGCGGCGUGCCUAAUACAUGCAAGUAGAACGCUGAAGGAGGAGCUUGCUUCUCUGGAUGAGUUGCGAACGGGUGAGUAACGCGUAGGUAACCUGCCUGGUAGCGGGGGAUAACUAUUGGAAACGAUAGCUAAUACCGCAUAAUAGUAGAUGUUGCAUGACAUUUGCUUAAAAGGUGCAAUUGCAUCACUACCAGAUGGACCUGCGUUGUAUUAGCUAGUUGGUGGGGUAACGGCUCACCAAGGCGACGAUACAUAGCCGACCUGAGAGGGUGAGCGGCCACACUGGGACUGAGACACGGCCCAGACUCCUACGGGAGGCAGCAGUAGGGAAUCUUCGGCAAUAGACGGAAGUCUGACCGAGCAACGCCGCGUGAGUGAAGAAGGUUUUCGGAUCGUAAAGCUCUGUUGUAAGAGAAGAACGAGUGUGAGAGUGGAAAGUUCACACUGUGACGGUAUCUUACCAGAAAGGGACGGCUAACUACGUG
rnacentral:rRNA from 1 species